rnacentral:tRNA from 1 species
GGGGAUAUGGCUCACUGGUAGAGCACUUGCCUAGGAUGCGAGAGACCCUGCAUUUCAGUUCUUGGUGUCUCCG